rnacentral:rRNA from 1 species
AUUGAACGCUGGCGGCAGGCUUAACACAUGCAAGUCGAGCGAGCGGCGGACGGGUGAGUAAUAUCUGGGAAACUGCCUGAUGGAGGGGGAUAACUACUGGAAACGGUAGCUAAUACCGCAUACCAUCAGAUGUGCCCAGAUGGGAUUAGCUAGUUGGUGGGGUAAUGGCUCACCUAGGAGACGAUCCCUAGCUGGUCUGAGAGGAUGACCAGACACACUGGUACUGAGACACUGUCCAGACUCCUACGGGAGGCAGCAGUGGGGAAUAUUGCACAAUGGGCGCAAGCCUGAUACACACAUGCCGCGUGGGUGAAGAAGACCUUCGGGUUGUAGAGCACUUUCAGCGAGGAGGCGUUACUCGCAGAAGAAGCACCGGCUAACUCCGUGCCAGCCGCCGCGGUAAUUC